GUGCUCGCUCCGGCAGCACAUACACUGAAGUUGGAACGAUACAGAGAAGAUUAGCGUGGCCCCUGCACAAGGAUGACACACAAAUUCAUGAAGCAUUCCAUGUUAAA
rnacentral:snRNA from 1 species